rnacentral:rRNA from 1 species
GCAAGUCGACGGAAACGAUGGAAGCUUUGCUUUCCAGGCGUCGAGUGCGGACGGGUGAGUAAUACUUUAGGAAUCUGCCCAUUAGUGGGGGACAACAUUCGGAAACGGAUGCUAAUACCGCAUACGCCCUACGGGGGAAAGCGGGGGAUCUUCGGACCUCGCGCUAAUGGAUGAGCCUAAGUCGGAUUAGCUUGUUGGUGAGGUAAAAGCUCACCAAGGCGACGAUCCGUAGCUGGUCUGAGAGGACGAUCAGCCACACUGGGACUGAGACACGGCCCAGACUCCUACGGGAGGCAGCAGUGGGGAAUAUUGGACAAUGGGCGCAAGCCUGAUCCAGCAAUGCCGCGUGUGUGAAGAAGGCCUGCGGGUUGUAAAGCACUUUCAGUAGAGAAGAAAAGCUUAAGAUUAAUAAUCUUGAGUCUUGACGUAACCUACAGAAGAAGC